AUUGAACGCUGGCGGCAUGCCUUACACAUGCAAGUCGAACGGCAGCGGACCUUCGGGUGCCGGCGAGUGGCGAACGGGUGAGUAAUAUAUCGGAACGUACCUUUCAGUGGGGGAUAACGUAGCGAAAGUUACGCUAAUACCGCAUAUUCUGUGAGCAGGAAAGCAGGGGAUCGCAAGACCUUGCGCUGAUUGAGCGGCCGAUAUCAGAUUAGCUAGUUGGUGAGGUAAAGGCUCCCCAAGGCGACGAUCUGUAGCGGGUCUGAGAGGAUGAUCCGCCACACUGGAACUGAGACACGGUCCAGACUCCUACGGGAGGCAGCAGUGGGGAAUUUUGGACAAUGGGCGCAAGCCUGAUCCAGCCAUGCCGCGUGAGUGAAGAAGGCCUGGUUGUAAGUA
rnacentral:rRNA from 1 species